rnacentral:rRNA from 1 species
CUACGUGCCAGCAGCCGCGGUAAUACGGAAGGUCCAGGCGUUAUCCGGAUUUAUUGGGUUUAAAGGGAGUGUAGGCGGUUUGUUAAGCGUGUUGUGAAAUUUAGGUGCUCAACAUUUAACUUGCAGCGCGAACUGUCAGACUUGAGUACACGCAACGUAUGCGGAAUUCAUGGUGUAGCGGUGAAAUGCUUAGAUAUCAUGAAGAACUCCGAUUGCGAAGGCAGCAUACGGGAGUGUAACUGACGCUUAAGCUCGAAGGUGCGGGUAUCGAACAGGAUUAGAUACCCUGGUAGUCCGCACAGUAAACGAUGGAUGCCCGCUGUUAGCGCCUGGCGUUAGCGGCUAAGCGAAAGCAUUAAGCAUCCCACCUGGGGAGUACGCCGGCAACGGUGAAACUCAAAGGAAUUGACGGGGGCCCGCMCAAGCGGAGGAACAUGUGGUUUAAUUCGAUGAUACGCGAGGAACCUUACCCGGGCUUGAAUUGCAGAGGAAUUAUUUAGAGAUA